rnacentral:lncRNA from 1 species
AAAGAAUCUGCACUGGGCUGAAACAGCCCAGAAGGGUAUUUCCUUCUGCAUCGGAUUAAAAACUGGGACUUCUGCCAGUUUGGAGGAGGUGAAAAUGAUACAGGCAAAGAAUUCACCCAACCUCUUAGAGAGUGGCACAGAACUUCAAAAUUCAGAGAGGUCCUCCAAGAAAUCAUGGAUCGUCAGCACAGUUGUUGGCCUGAUAUUAACAAUAUUCUUUUCUGGUAUCCUAACUUAUUAUUUUCUCCAUUUCAAGGUUCCAGAAAGUUGUUGGGCUCAAGCAAGUUUAGACACCAAAACUGAAGCAACUGAUUACGUUGAGGUAAAGGACUGGAAAUGGUCUAAAAUACCCACUUCUUGCAUGAAGAAAACUGAAAAUGAGAAACUGAGCAUCAUCCAAGAUGGCAACUUUUUGAUUUACAGCCAAAUGAAGAGAAGAAGUAAGAGCCAUGUUCCCUUCGCAAUUCGACUGAUGAGAGGAGAUGAAGUUCUAAGUCAAAGCCAAUCCAAAGAAGACAUUAUUGUCCUCCUGGGAAUCUAUCACUUGAAUGAGGGGGAUGAGAUAAGUUUGGAUUUGAAUGAUGAAAAUUUUGAGCAUAUUGAGAAAAAUUCCACUCAGACUUAUUGGGGGAUUUUGCGUGUUCCACCUUACCACUCUUAGGACUCUGACUCUCACUUCCCCCACCCUUCAGAAAAACAGUGGGCUUCAGUGCUAAUGGUUUGCCUGGCUAUGUAAAUCUAAGCAAACAGGUCUUCUGCAGGGUGAUGAUAUUCUUCCCCUUCCUUCUUUUGAAAUACUGGUGUUUUGCUCUUCAAUGAGGUUGUGACCCAGAGGACACAGAUCUGAGAGGGAACUUCUCUGCAGAAAAAGAACAGAUGUUCUCUUAGAAUAUGGGUGGUUGGGAAAAGGGGGCUCCUGGAGGAGUCUUUUGCUUUCCAAGGUCUUCUUAGAUUUGGCAGUAAGAAGUCCCAAUCCAAAAGAAAUGUUGGCCUGGCAUUCCAAAGGUCUCAGGAGGCAGCCUUCCUGGUCUCAUUCCCAUGCUCUGGGAACCGUCCACUACUCACGUAACUCUCUGUUUGGGGACUCCAGUCCGUCUCAGAAAAAGUGGUAAGGUCAGCCUGGAAGGGUGACCAUAGAAACUGCCAAAGUACAUCCUACCUAAGAAAUGGCCCUUGAUAGAACAGAAUAUUAUUCACAUGCUAACUAGAGUGGAAGCCUUUGGGACAGAAACACAAAUGUCCAUGAUAGGCUGACCAAGCUGCACUUUAUAUAUAGGAAGUUAGUGAUUUUUGGCUUCCUCAUACUCAGGACACAUAGCUUUAAAGGAAGUCAUGGAGUGGAGGGAUGAUUCCUGAUCUUCAGCCAGGGUGCUCUCAUCAUUCUACAGCUAGAGGAAAAGCGAAUGAUGUGGCCAAAGUGAUCAGGAAUUGUUCAUAUCACCAUGUCUCCUUCCCUUCACCUGUUGUCACUCUCUAGUCUUCUGAGGGUCUAUAGACUGAGCAUACAAGAAGUCUUUUCAUCUCCUCAUGCCUAGGGUGGGGAAUGACGAGACCACUUAGAGGAUACCUUUCCCUCGAUGAAGUGACAAUUCUUUGUCUCCUAUUUCCUGGUGAGGACCCCCCUGUGCAGGGCCUGUACUCCCAACUACUCACCUGGUUUAUCAUUUGUGUCUUAGUGCAGGGAAUGCCCUCUUCUAGCCCAAGGCAAGGACUUUGGUGCCUUCUAGGAUGCUUUGCCCUUGUUCCAUUCACUCUGUGCUCUGACAAAACAAGAGACAAACAUGAAGCUAUCAUCUUCCAGCCUUGCAGGGUCUACAGUGGUUAAAAAGCUAUGUUCUAAGACACCUUGUACACGCACACUACACAUGUAUAUAGACAUAUAUAUUUUAUAUAUUUAUAUUACUCAUACAGUUAGGGAGAUUGACUUCACUAGACUGGGGUACCAAAUACAAAUGUAGGGGACCCUUUCCUUUCACCUGUACACUGGAGAGAGCUUGGGUCCAAGGCUUGGACACUGUGUGACUAUUUCCUCUAUUUGAAAAGUUCCUCAGGAAAUUACAAUUGCUCAUUUGUCUAUUUAUAAAAUUGCUACGAUGUUUACUACUGUUGUGUUUGUUAGACUGUUUUCCAUACAUAAAUUCAUCCCUGUCCUUGCCCUACCACCCCCUUCCCUGUGGGAUGAAUGUGAUGGCCUCUUGGAACCCAGCCUGGGCCAGCCAGUGGCUAAGGAGGUGGCUACUCAUAGUAGAAGUGUGGACCUUGUUCACCUAAAUCUACUGAUCAGUAUGGAAAGUUGCUAGUCAUCAAUUCAGCUUUUUGAUAUGUGCUUUGAUAUGUGAUUCAUUCUAUUCAAGAUCAACUGAAUGCGCUGUAAAUCUCUAAUAAAGCACACAUUGGCCACUGGACUGCA